rnacentral:rRNA from 1 species
GACGAACGCUGGCGGCGUGCCUAACACAUGCAAGUCGAACGGAAGUAAGUGCUUCGGUAUUUACUUUAGUGGCGAACGGGUGAGUAACGCGUGAGGAACCUGCCUUUCAGUGGGGGAUAACACUGAGAAAUUGGUACUAAUACCCCAUAACAUCAGGACCGGCAUCGGUUCUGGUUGAAAACUCCGGUGGUUAUGGAUGGGCAUGCGUUGUAUUAGCUGGUUGGUGAGGUAACGGCUCACCAAGGCAACGAUACAUAGGGGGACUGAGAGGUUAACCCCCCACAUUGGUACUGAGACACGGACCAA